UUUAUAGUAGUUUAGUUAAACGGGAAGUUGGUCAAAUUCCAACGCUGCCCCCGCAACGGUAGAUGAGUUAGAGAUCAUUCGAUAAGCCACUGUGUAUGUCAUGGGAAGGCGAAUGAAUCGAUGCUAAGCAUGCUCAUAAGCCCGGAUACCGGCCUUUUACUUAU
rnacentral:ncRNA from 1 species